UGAAUAACGUGCCCCUAAAACCGAUAGCCGAUGGAAACGUCGAGUAAUACGGAUGCGACCUCGAGAAGGCAUCUUCUUGAGAUUAAAUGGAUUCCGUUUAGGGAGCGGUUCAUGGCCUAUCAGCUAGUUGGUGAGGUAAAGGCUCACCAAGGCGACGACGGGUAGCGGGUCUAAGAGGACGAUCCGCUCGAGUGGGACUGAGACACGGCCCACACACCUACGGGUGGCAGCAGUUGGGAAUCUUGCACAAUGGGGGAAACCCUGAUGCAGCGACGCCGCGUGGAGGACGAAGGGUCUAGGCCUGUAAACUCCUUUUAUUGGGAAAGACUUAGGACGGUACCCAAUGAAUAAGGACCGGCUAACUACGUGCCAGCAGCCGCGGUAAGACGUAGGGUCCAAGCGUUGUCCGGAUUUACUGGGCGUAAAGAGCGCGUAGGCGGUCUGUUAAGUGAAAAGUGAAAUCUCCAUCGCUCAACGAGGAAAUUGCUUCUCAUACUGGCAGACUAGAGGAAUGCAGAGGUAAGUGGAAUUCCUGGUGUAGCGGUGAAAUGCGUAGAUAUCAGGAGGAACACCCAUGGCGAAGGCAGCUUACUGGGCAUUAUCUGACGCUGAGGCGCGAAAGCGUGGGUAGCAAACAGGAUUAGAGAACCCUGGUAGUCC
rnacentral:rRNA from 1 species